AUUGAUAUUUUAAAUACUAAUAAUUUUCUUCGAAAAUCGGUGGCAAAUUUGCCAUUAAUUUCCAACCCAUUUCCGACCACCACAGUUUAUUAAACCUAGAUCUGAAAUUGUUUAUCCUUAUAACCCCCAGCCGCCUCAUUAAUGGACCAUCUCUUCUCCAACGACGAAACACCGCUGAUCUACACCACUUGUCCGUCCGCUCAUCUCCAGUUACUCCUCUCUAAUUGUUUGGUGUGGUUCCUUUCCUCCUCCUUCUCGAUUUCUUUCGUUUUCUUUUUUUUUUAGACAUCAUCUUCUCUUCUUUUUCUUCCUUAUCUUUUCCCAUUUGUAUGUGCCACUUCCAUUUGUCGUGAUCUUUCGGAAGAACCACCAAAAGAGCACAAACACGACUCAUCACCGGAACAUUACCUAAAAAGCACAAAUUUUAAUAUUUUAUAUUUUUAAUUUUUAAUUUAUUUUAAUUUCUAUUAUUUCUCUGUAUUUUUUUUAGUUUUGCUGUAUUUUCCUUUUUUAUAUUUUUUAAUUAAAUUUAUCUAUUCCGUUGGAAUUCGGUGGAAAUCAAUGGAUUAUUUUCCCAUCAAUUGUCAACGAAUAUUUCCGACCGUAUUUUCGACCAAUAUUUUGGUAGAGAAUUUCCCACCGCCUUCCGACUAUUUUCAAUUUGCAAUGAACGAUU